UAGGGAAUCUUCGGCAAUGGACGGAAGUCUGACCGAGCAACGCCGCGUGAGUGAAGAAGGUUUUCGGAUCGUAAAGCUCUGUUGUAAGAGAAGAACGAGUGUGAGAGUGGAAAGUUCACCACUGUGACGGUAUCUUACCAGAAAGGGACGGCUAACUACGUGCCAGCAGCCGCGGUAAUACGUAGGUCCCGAGCGUUGUCCGGAUUUAUUGGGCGUAAAGCGAGCGCAGGCGGUUAGAUAAGUCUGAAGUUAAAGGCUGUGGCUUAACCAUAGUACGCUUUGGAAACUGUUUAACUUGAGUGCAAGAGGGGAGAGUGGAAUUCCAUGUGUAGCGGUGAAAUGCGUAGAUAUAUGGAGGAACACCGGUGGCGAAAGCGGCUCUCUGGCUUGUAACUGACGCUGAGGCUCGAAAGCGUGGGGAGCAAACAGGAUUAGAUACCCUGGUAGUCCACGCCGUANCGAUGAGUGCUAGGUGUUAGACCCUUUCCGGGGUUUAGUGCCGCAGCUAACGCAUUAAGCACUCCGCCUGGGGAGUACGACCGCAAGGUUG
rnacentral:rRNA from 1 species